rnacentral:rRNA from 1 species
CGAGACCUAAGGUCAGGCGGGGCUACCCGC